AUCUUAAUGCGUUCUCCUGCACUGGAGGGAGAAGCUGCUAAUGCAAGCUCAGCCCUCCUGUGCAGCUCGUAAUGAGGCAGGCCCCUCAGUCCCCUCUGCUCCCCAAGACCAGCCCCACAGCUGGGCAGUUGUUGCAAUGUGACACACUUGGACACGUAGCUGAGACGUUAUUUUGAAAAUGAAGAACCAAUAUUUUUCUUACUUAUAAAAGCAGUCCUGCUUCUCAAAGGAGACACCAAUCCUGGAAGACCUGGGACAAGGUAGAGAAGAGGUCUUCUCCCCUCAUGCCUUCAUGGAGAGGCUCAUGCUGCUAGACAUAGCAACCUCUGUCAGGAAAUGUCGCGUCUUCAGCCCUUCACGUAGGCAGGUUUGAUUCAGCGUCCUCGUGGCAUUUCCUGUUCCUGCCCACUUGUGCUCGCGCACGCGCGAUGGGGUCGGCCUUUCUGACAUCAGCUGUCUAACCGCUGGGAUACAGCAAACAUACAGCAAAGU
rnacentral:lncRNA from 1 species